rnacentral:misc_RNA from 1 species
GCAAACUUGGUCAUUUAGAGGAAGUAAAAGUCGUAACAAGGUUUCCGUAGGUGAACCUGCGGAAGGAUCAUUACAAGAGUGUUGAACCCCUCUGUAAAAAGGGGGGUUUACCUCCCGUCCUCUGCUGGUCCUUUUAGGGGCUUUUUUGACUUUACUUUGGCGGGGUAACCUGCCAGAGAACCCUCAAAAUUCUUUUCUAAAAUUGUUCUGUCCGAGAAUUUUUGAAAAAUAAAAAAAAACUUUCAACAACGGAUCUCUUGGUUCUGGCAUCGAUGAAGAACGCAGC